rnacentral:rRNA from 1 species
AGCAGCCGCGGUAAUUCCAGCUCCAAUAGCGUAUAUUAAAGUUGUUGCAGUUAAAAAGCUCGUAGUUGAAUUUCGGGAUCAGUACGCUGGUCGUGCCUUUGGUAUGUACUGGUGUCACUGAUUCCUCCCUUCUGAAGAACCGUUAUGCCAUUUAUUUGGUGUGGCGGGAAAUCAGGACUGUUACUUUGAAAAAAUUAGAGUGUUUAAAGCAGGCUCGCGCUUGAAUACAUUAGCAUGGAAUAAUGAAAUAGGACGUUUGAUCUUAUUUUGUUGGUUUCUAGGAUCGACGUAAUGAUUGAUAGGGAUAGUUGGGGGCAUUAGUAUUCAAUUGUCAGAGGUGAAAUUCUUGGAUUUAUUGAAGACUAACUACUGCGAAAGCAUUUGCCAAGGAUGUUUUCAUUAAUCAAGAACGAAAGUUAGGGGAUCGAAGACGAUCAGAUACCGUCGUAG